CUACACCCGUCUACAAGUCUCCACCACCACCAACUCCCGUCUACAAGUCACCACCACCACCAGUGAAGCCAUACCAUCCUACACCCGUCUACAAGUCUCCACCACCACCAACUCCCGUCUACAAGUCGCCACCACCACCAGUGAAGCCAUACCAUCCUACACCCGUAUACAAGUCUCCACCACCACCAACUCCCGUUUACAAGUCACCACCACCACCAGUGAAGCCAUAUCAUCCCUCACCAACACCAUACCACCCUACACCAGUAUACAAGUCUCCACCACCACCAACUCCCGUUUACAAGUCCCCACCACCACCAGUAAAGCCAUACCACCCUUCACCAACACCAUACCAUCCUAAACCAGUAUACAAGUCUCCACCACCACCAACUCCAGUCUACAAGUCUCCACCACCAACCCACUAUGUUUACUCCUCUCCCCCUCCUCCCUACCAUUACUAAGAAGUGAGUUUACUAUAUCUGAGGUAAUUAAGAUGAACUUAAACCUUUACAAACAUAUAUAACUAAAAUGCAAUGCAAUAAUAAGUUGCACAAUUAUUUCUUCUCUUUUGGUUAGUUUCUUUUAUAUGUUCUCAUUCACAAUAUUAUAUUGUUAUGCAGGAAAAGCAUAAUGUUGAGCUGAAAGAAAGGCAUUUUCCAUUUUCAAGAAGAAAAUUAUAGUAAAUAAUAAGGCUUACAGAAGAUCAGACGAAGUUCUUUUGUAGCUUCAUGUUAUCUAACUUGUCUUAGUGAUAUAUUGUUUUUGUACUCUAUUUUUAUAUAUUACUUUUAUGUGUCUUUGUGUAUGUUUGCUCACUUUCAAUCUUCUUGCAAAAUGCAGAGAUUAAUUAUGAGAUUAUCAUGAAUAAAAUAAGUUAUUACUACUCCCAUAUGUUUUAAUUAACUUCUCAUCACAAUAUAUAUUACCUUUGUUUUCAUUUUAUCAUGUGCUCAUAUUUAAUUUAUAAAAUUAUAAUGUGAACACAACAUUUACAAUUUUUUUCAAAUAGAACUAUUUAUAUAUAUAUAUAUAUAUAUAUAUAUAUAUAUAUAUAUAUAUAACAGGAUGCUCAAAUUAAUAACCAACGAAUUUCAUGUACUUAUGGUUAUAAUUCAAUCAAAUUCGAGUAUUGUAGUCCAUUUACGAUAACAAAAUAAAAAAAUUAUUUAAUAAUCACAUAAUACGUUGUUAAACUUUUGUAAAGUAUAUGAUUUCAGAAGCUCAAACAAAAAAUUACAAUCCAAAUAUUUUAAAAAUAAUAGUUUAAAAUUUUCACGCAUCACAUAAAUAUAUAUACUUACUCCAAGCCUAUCCUAUCCGAAAUUUUCAGCUAUUGAUGUAGCCUCUUGUCGAUACUACUAGUCUUCUCGCUACCUACUAGAAAAAUUCCAUCAAAAUAGAUUGAAUCGACGACCUAUACUUCAACUAAAGGCACGAGGGCGUAGCGAGCUUAACUAUUAUCGUAAUAUAAGAUGAAAUCCACCCAUUUUGAUAUCACAUACACGUCUUUAAAACUGAUAAAAUAAUGAGGUCUACUCUUAGUCAAAAUUAAAUGAUUGUAGACCACAUCUACAGUUCCCAAUUGUCAACAAUUCGAUCCUCCGCGUUUGUGGUAGGUUUCACUUUCAUUUCUUCGGUUCGAUUUUAUCAAAUUUUAAUUUGAUUCUUUAAUUUUUAAUUUUGGAAAAAUGUGUAUGGAAUGUUGAAUCGAAUUAAUUUGUUUAAUUAUCUUUUUAAAAAAUUAGUUUAAAACAAAAAUUGAAUUUCAAUAAAAUUUAAUGAAAAAAUUAUUCAAAUUGAUUAGGUAACCUUUUAAGUCAAAUAUCAAUAGUUGAAUAAUUUUAUAGGUAAAAUAUUCAUAAUUGAGUGACUUUGAGAUCAUACAAGAAAAUUGAGUGACUUUAUAAGAGAAAAAAUCUUAGUUAAAAUAAUUUUUUAUGAGAAAAAAUUCUUAAGUAACUUUAUGGCAUUAUAAAAAAAAAUUAACUCCUCUUUAAAUUAGAAUUACAAAAUUAAAAGUAAGUUCCAUUUUAAAGAUAAGGACAUUAUUAGUAAAAAUAAUUGGUGAACAUUUUCCAAUGAAAAAAUAAUAUUUUUCUAAAAUAGCUAAUAGAUGAUAAUUCGUUUCUUAGGCGUAAAAAUGUUAGGACAUGUUAGCCUCACUCAGUUGAAUAAAUUGCUCACCAAGAACAUAAUCAUUGAAUAUCCUAAAACAAAGUUUAAAAAUGAAUUAAAAAAAAAAUCAGUAAUAAAAAAAUACAUGCAAACUAUCUACAAAUGUAUUAUUAUUAAUUUUUAAAUAAAAAAGAGUAAAUGAAAGAGAAUAGAAGAUCUUUGACUUGUUAAUUAAGACAAAUAUUUGUCUAAUAUAAGUAUGUCGGUAAUAACAAUGUAGACUAAGAUCUGUACUUGUUUAUAUAUCCAUAUCCCUUAAUGUUAGGACCAUUAAAAUUAUUAAUUUAGUUUAACUAAUUAAUGGGAUCUUAUAAAUACAUUAAUAAUAUUACUGUUGUCGGUGAUUAAGUUAAUGCUAAUACUUAAUUGUUUUUUUUUUCCAAUUAAAAUGUCAAAGUCGUUAGAUGAACCAAAAUGGAAUCGUCCAUGAAGAUGGUACCAGAGUACAAUUAUUGAAUAAUAUCUUUUUUUUUUAACUUCAAAAAUUAAAGUGGAAUUCAAUUACCUACUUUAUAAAUGUAUGGCAACUUGGCAAUAAUUCAUUAAAUUUCAGGAAGAACAAAAACCAUCGAUAAUUGAGAUUAAUUUAAGAGAUAAAUGUCAAAAACACAUUUAAUAUAUUACAUAUUUUAAAAAAAUUCAUACUUCACCCCGUCUCUUUUCGAAAAAAUUGAUAUUAUUUUAUUUUUUUAAAAAUAGGAAUUCUAUCCAUCCUAUAUAACCUCCUGUACCUAAUUUUUUUAUAUAUAUUUUUGUGAGUUUGUAUUAGAUAUGUACAUAUAUUUUUAGGAAUUCUUUCUACUUGUGUACCAAAUAUAAAGUAAAUAAAACAUUUAUUUUUUAAAAAAGUCUUGAGGCCGUGGCAAAUAAAAAUUAUUUUCAAUAUGUUUAUAUCUAACACAAAAGGAGAAAAAGUUCGAAAGCGGACGGUUAGGUGGGGUAGGUAUAUUUUUUUUAAAGCAAAUUAGUAUAUAUAUUUUUUUGUGUGUGUGGGGUUGGGGGGGGGGGGGGGGUAAAAAAAAGUUAAAUACCUUUACAAAAGAAAUUUAAACAAAAAAAACUAAAAAAAAAAAGGGUGGGGGGAGGGUUGGACGGUUAGAGAAAGUGAUGGAGUGGGUAGGGAGGCGAGCAAAAUUGGGAGGGAGACGAGCAAACUUUGUACGUAUCGUAACCCAGAACAUGUGAAUCAAGCAAGAUACACACUAGGUACAUGUAUUUGUACGUGUCUAGAGGAAUUCACAUAUAUCUGGGAUAUCAUAUUCUUGGAAGAAUGACGAGCAAAAUGGAACAGAGGCAAGGAAGGAAAACGAGAUAUACUAUGUAUCCCAAAUACAUGCGAAUUCAAUAAAUAUAAUGUAUCUAGAACAAAUUACACCUAAAUUUGAUCGAGAUAUUCGAGAUACAUGUAUCUCAAGGCACCAAAAUCUGAUUUUUAUAUAUAUAUAUAUAUAUAUGAAAGUUUAUGUGAUCGAUAAAACUAAUAGCUUAGUAUUUCAAUGGUAUCAUUUCUACACAAAAUAGUUCUACCUCAAUUUAUGACAAAAAUGAUUUUAUUUAUAUGAGAUCAAAUUUAUAGGGUUUCGAUGACCAUGAUAAAACAGGAGAAUGUACAAAAAUACUUAAGUCCUUGUUUAUAAUAUACCAUUUUGCCAAAAUAUUUGUAGCUCGAUUAACUUUCUUAUAGAAAUGUUGAACCUUUCAAAUAAUAGUGCUUGAUAUAAUGAUAUAUUGUAAAUAUGAAAAGUGAUGUUUUUCAUUUUCCAAAGAAUACCACUAAAAUAGUUCUUUCUAACAUCAUGUAUAAAUUUUUAUGCAAGUAAAACAUUUUAAAUAAUAAUCUACGAAACUUGUUAUUUGAUCCUCAUAGAUAUUAUAACAUUUAGUUUUAGUGCUUAUGAAAAUAAUUUUGUUAGAACAAUAUUUCCAUUAUACGUAUAAAAAGUUCACAUUGUUCUUUGUUUUUAAAGAUACAAUAUCCUAAUUAUUUCAUUGUUAUUCCAUCUCUAUUAUUCAUUGAGCAUAAUUUGAAUAAUUUAUUUUUAUCAUAUUAUUACCAAUAUAAUCAUAGAAAGUCAAAUAAGAAAACUAAUUUUCCUUGUUACUAUUUCUUUGAUUAAUUGGAAUUAGAGACGACUAGUUAUUAUUAUGAGCAACUUUCACAUAUAGCAAACAAAAAAUUUAUAUUUGUAUGCUAAUUAAGCUCCAUAGCAAACAUAAAACUGUAUAAUUUGCUAUACAUAUACAAUUGUAUAAUUCGCUGGCCUAUUUCGCUGCAAUAGUAUAAUUUGUUUUGCAUACAGUUGAAUCGAAUUAAAAUGUAUGUAUAUUGCAUAAUUAUAAGUGUAUAGCAAGAAGAUAUAUGUUUUUCUCGCUUUAUACAAAAACAGAAACACAAUAUAUACACUUUUGUUGUAUAAAGCUAGAGAAAAUUGUAUUUCACUGCAAUUGUAUAAUUCGCAAUUGUAUAAUUCGUUGGCCUUUUUCUCUGCAAUAUUUGAAGUAAAAUGUUUGCAAAUUGUGUAAUUAAGUGUAUAACAUGAAGAUAUACAUUUUUGCAUGUGUAUAUACAAUUUUCUCUCGCUUUAUACAAAACAGAAACAGAAUUAUACACUUCUGUGUAUAAAGCGGGAGAGGCGAGCGAGAAUGGAGAGUGGCGAGCGAGAUUUUUGGGAGAGAGACGCUGGCAAAUUUUAGCUAAUGUUUGCUAUGGAGCAAAAUUAAAUCAAAUCCUAGCUAUUCCAUUUAAUUUAGGUUAUUAGUUUGCUAUUAUAUACAAUUUUUUCUAUUAUUAUUAAUCGGAUGCAUUUCACUCCGCACAUAAAUAACUUCCAAUAAUUUAAUAUUAAUUAUAUAUGCUCUAUUAAAUAAUUUUUAAAUAUAAAAUAAUAUUAUGGUAGAUUUGGGGGUGUCAAAAUCAAGUCAAUUUGUCAAACUCCCCUAUUCCAUUUAAUUUAUCAACUUUAACUCAUCUCAACCUAAUUUAGUUUAAUUCAUAUUUAAACAGUGAAUUGAUAUAUAAUUCAAAUUAGCUUAUCAAAAUAUUUUUAAAAUAAUAUUUUUAAAAUUUGAUAUGUUAUAUAUAGUCGUAAUAAAGAAAAAAAUAAACUUAUUAGGUGCUAAAAAAUUUUAAAAAGAGCAAACUAAACAACUAAAUUUUAGUAAAAAUUGAAGGGGUUAUAUUAGAAAUCGAAUUUAACUUAAUUAUGUCCAAUUCAUUUCAAUUCAAAUAGACAAUAGCUAAUGAUCCAUUCAUUUGUUAACUCAUUAAAAUUCAAUCGGUUCAAAUUCAGGUCAACUCUCCUAUACCAAACUUCUAGUAGAUCUUAAUCAAUAAAAAUUUGGACACGAAAACAAUUCAUUCAUUUCAUCCAUCAAAUUAUUAAUAAGUGACACCAUCUUAGCGACCCAGUUCAUUGUAUUAUAUUAAGAAAAAAUAACUUAAAUACACAAUUAUAAGUUUUAUAUUUUCUAAUUUUCCCUUCUUUUUUUUAAAUAUUACAUAAUUUCCUUUUUUUAAAAUUUUAGUGUAAGUUUAUAGAUACAUUACAUUCUCUCUCCUAUAGUACACAAUUACCCAUUUUAAUGCCUAUUUAUUCUCCAUUAAAACACUCAACCUUUUAAAUAAAAGACCUAAUUUUGAAUUUCAAAAUUCAAAAAAUUUCAAAUUUCAAAAAUCAGGUUCUCCCGUUUUUCUUACUCCAUCAAGUUUCACUUCCUUUUUUUCCAUAAUCAUCUUCCUUCUUCUUAACCUAGCAGAAUUUAUUGGUUUCUUCUUUUUAUUCUUAAUCCAUCAUCUUUUUCUUCUUAAUCUGUAAUCGUCUUAACCCAAUAUCUUUUUAUUAUUAAUCCAUCAUCAGUUCGUCUUUUCUUCUCUUUUUUCUUUUUGUUAAUUGUUCUAUUACAUUAUAGUAAUGGAUCCGUUAAUUAAUAGAAGGAUAUAUGAUUCCGACGAUGAAAAUUGGAAAGAAAAUAGGAAAAAGUUUUUGCAUGAUCCUAUGAAUCUUCAGAAGGAUUCAAACAAAGACUCUGGCGAAACAUCAAAAUCAAAGGUUAUCAAAAUACAACAAAAAAAGAAAAAAGAAGCAGCAAACAUUGUUGUUAGGCCUACAUUGUCUCGGGUUAGUAUUUUGGUACUUAAAACUGUUGUUGAAAUUAGUAAAAAUUUUAAGGAAUCUAGUGUGCUUGCCGAUACAUUUGAAUAAGUGUGUAUAGUGUUUUAGAGGUGAAUUGAUACAUGAAUUUAUUGUGUAUCAUAAUAUUUUAUAUGUAUCAUGAAGUUUUGAAAAUUGUUAUAAUGUAUCAUUCAAUAAGUUUAGUAAAUACGUCAUCAACUGUGCUUGAUGAUACAUAUAGAAUCAGUGUGUACGGUGUUUAGUCAAUUCACUGAUACAUGUAGGAGAUAUGUAUCACAUGUUUUGCAUAUAGUAUGAAUUUCUGAAAACUGAUAUCAUGUAUCAGUAAGGUAUUAGUUGUUUAGUUGAUGUACUGAUACAUGUUUGAAAAUUGUUAUAAUGUAUCAUUCACUAAGUUUAAUAAAUGCGUCAUCAACUGUACUUGAUGAUACAUAUAGAAUCAGUGUGUAUAUUGUUUAGUCGAUGUUUCUGAUACAUGCAUUAGAUACGAAAUUGAAUCUCCAACAACGAUUCCGUCGAUUUUGUAACUUUCAUACUGCAAUUCGUUCACCUAAAUUCCGGAAUGUCUCAUCAAAAUCGAAGUAUUCAUCUUGAAAAAUCCACUGUAACAACAAUAAAAUUACUGUAGUUCGAAAUUUAACAGAUUGUUCAAAAAAAUUGUUUUCAAAAUAGAUGACAUAAUCUUUGUUUUUCAAAAUUUGAAAUUAAUAUCCAAUUAAGUGCUUAUUUUAUGCUGAUUAAUGAUAUGUUACCGUAAAUUUAGCUGUUUUAUUAACAACAUUAACUGUACCGUUUUCCCCCUUUUUUUUCUCAACAGUUUAAAAUUACCAUGUAUCAUUUACCUUGUAUCACGAGAGUCUAAAGUAUCACGGCUCAACAAAUUUAAGAGAUUUUUUGUAAAUACUAAAUUUGUCUGGACAAAAUGAAAUUAUUGAAUUACACUAUAGGAUUCCUUAAAUUUUUACUUAUAUUAAUCUUUAGUAUGGGGACCUAAAUAUUUAACUUUCCAAUUCCUUUAGGGGUCAAUUUGAUUGAUUAUAAUGAGUGAAUUAUACUAUAAAAAUUGAAAUAAUAAUUAAUGUUUGUAGAGCAUAUUAAAUUAUUUUAUCAUGACUACAGUUGGUGUUAAUUGAAUUGGAAAUAAGAUAUAUACGGUAUAUAAUAUAUAUAGAAAUUUUAAUUUGAUUCGUUGAUUUUGUAUUUUCAGACAAAUUUUAUUUUUAAUUUUACCUUUCUUAAAGAACUUUUAGUUUGGUUGUUUUAUCAUGGAAUUAGCUAAUUAUUAAUCUAGAGAAUUGCUAUUCCAUAUACAACUUUGGUACAAUUAGAGAAUUAUAAUAUAAUUAAUUUCAAAAUUACUUAUAUUUAGGAACAAAAGUUUCAAUCAAACGAUAAAUAAUUGAAUAUUUUAUCUCAGAAUUAGUAUUAUUAUUAUUAAUACUAAUUAACGAUCCUAAGUUUCGAUUUUGUCACUCCGGUCCUUUUCUUUUAAUCUUUUCACAAACCAACUACAUUUGAUUGCAUUAACUAUAAAGUCCAUUUGCAUUAUUUUACAUAUCAAUUAAUAUUACUAAACUAAAUUUAUCUAUAAUUACUGAUUUAAAUGUAUACCUAUUUUCUCACCAACAUGGCAUAUAUAUUAGACUCAUUAAAAUUAAACGUUGCUUCAUGUGGUGUGUUCAAUUGGUUAGACUAUCUCGUCAAAUAUAUUGUUCGCAAAUAAACAAUGCUCAAAUGAAUGAUAUUAAUGUUGUUGGUGAAUAUUACAAGCUUCUCGUAACGUUUUGUUAGCUUACGUAUGAAUGUGCAAUAUUAUUUCUACUUAUUUUGUCAAACACUAAAAAAGUAAGUAAAAAACUUGUUUAUGUGAGAUAAUAUUUUUCUUUGUACCUAAAAAGUGCAUUAAUUUAUAUAGCUAAAAUAGUGCAAAGUUGAGGCCUCCACGCAUUAUUUUUGGUGAGAAGAAGAAUGAGAAGACUUUCUAUCUCUUUGAAUUAUUGCAUCACAAACAGUAUAGCUGCCUUAAUAGUUUAUUCAUUUGCUUAGCUUAAUGCCUCUAUCCAUCAAAUUAAAUAUACAACUAACAAGACAAAACCAAAUGAAAAUGCAUAACUCUAGGAUUUUACCUACAUUUGUAUAAAUUUUGGUAAGGGUAUCUGUCUAAAUGAAAACUAUAUAAAGGGGUUUGAGUGAAGCUUAAGAUGACAACAACUUUCUCCUUUGUUUCGAAUAUGGGGAAAAUGGCCUUUCUAGUUGCCACCCUUUUAGUGGUUUUAGUGUCACUUAGCUUAGCAUCUGAAAUUUCAGCUAAUUAUCAAUACUCAUCUCCCCCACCACCAAAGGAGCCAUACCACCCUUCACCAACACCAUAUCAUCCCACACCAGUUUACAAUUCUCCACCACCACCAAAAGAGCCAUACUACCCUCCACACACUCCAGUGUACAAGUCGCCACCACCCUCGACACCUAUUUACAAGUCGCCACCACCACCCAAAGAGCCAUACUACCCUCCACACACCCCUGCCUACAAGUCACCACCUCCACCAACUCCAGUUUACAGGUCGCCACCACCUCCCAAGGAGCCAUACUAUCCUCCACACACACCAACCUACAAGUCGCCACCUCCACCAACUCCCGUUUACAAGUCACCACCACCUCCAAAGGAACCAUACUACCCUCCACAUGCACCAACCUACAAGUCGCCACCACCUCCCAAGGAGCCAUACUACCCUCCCCACACCCCAACCUACAAGUCCUCACCUCCACCAACUCCGUUUUACAAUUCACCACCACCUCCCAAGGAACCAUACUACCCUCCUCACACACCAACCUACAAGUCGCCACCCCCACACAAGGAUCCAUACUACCCUCCACACACACCAACCUAUAAGUCACCACCUCUACCAACUCCUGUUUACAAGUUGCCACAACCACCCAAGGAGCCAUAUUACCCUCCACACACACCAACCUACAAGUCACCACCUCCACCAACUCCCAUUUACAAGUCACCACCACCUCCCAAGGAGCCAUACUACCCUCCACACACACCAACCUACAAGUUACCACCUCCACCAACUCCCGUUUAUAAGUCGUCGCCACCACCAUCCAAAGAGCCAUACUACCCUCCACACACACCAACCUACAAGUCACCACCUCCACCACCUCCCGUUUAUAAGUCUCCACCACCACCCAAGGAGCCAUACUACCCUCCACACACACCGACCUACAAGUCACCACCUCCACCAACUCCCGUUUACAAGUCCCCACCACCUCCUAAGGAGCCAUACUACCCUCCACACACACCGACCUACAAGUCACCACCUCCACCAACUCCCGUUUACAAGUCCCCACCACCUCCUAAGGAGCCAUACUACCCUCCACACACACCAACCUACAAGUCACAACCUCCACUAACUCCCGUUUAUAAGUCGUCGCCACCACCACCCAAGGAGCCAUACUACCCUCCACACACACUAACCUACAAGUCACCACCUCCACCAACUCCUGUUUAUAAGUCGCCACCACCACCCAAGGAUCCAUACUACCCUCCAAACACCCCAACUUACAAGUCGCCACCUCCACCAACUCUCAUUUACAAGGUUCCACCACCAGCCAAGGAGCCAUACUACCCUCCACACACACCGACCUACAAGUCACCACCUCCACCGACUCCCCUUUAUAAGUCCCCACCACCUCCUAAGGAGCCAUACUACCCUCCACACACACCAACCUACAAGUCACCACCUCCACCAACUCCCGUUUAUAAGUCGUCGCCACCACUACCCAAGGAGCCAUACUACCCUUCACACACACCAACCUACAAGUCACCACCUCCACCAACUCCCGUUUAUAAGUCUCCACCACCAACCAAGGAUCCAUACUACCCUCCACACGCCCCAACCUACAAGUCGCCACCUCCACCACCUCCCACUUACAAGUCGCCACCACCACCAAAGGAGCCAUACUACCCUCCACACACACCAACCUACAAGUCAUCACCUCCACCAACUCUCAUUUAUAAGUUGUUGCCACCACCACCCAAAGAGCCGUACUACCCUCCACACACACCAACCUACAAGUCACCACGUCCACCAACUCCCAUUUAUAAGUCGUCGCCGCCGCCACCCAAGGAGCCAUACUACCCUCCACACACACCAACCUACAAGUCACCACCUCCACCAACUCCCGUUUAUAAGUCGCCACCACCACCCAAGGAUCCAUACUACCCUCCACACACCCCAACCUACAAGUCGCCACCUCCACCAACUCCCGUUUACAAGUCGCCACCACCACCCAAGGAGCCAUACUACCCUCCUCACACACCAACCUAUAAGUCACCACCUCCACCAAGUCCCGUUUACAAGUCGCCACCACCACCCAAGGAUCCAUACUAUCCUCCACACACCCCAACCUACAAGUCGCCACCUCCACCAACUCCCGUUUACAAGUCGCCACCACCACCCAAGGAGCCAUACUACCCUCCUCACACACCAACCUAUAAGUCACCACCUCCACCAAGUCCCGUUUACAAGUCGCCACCACCACCCAAGGAGCCAGACUACCCUCCACACACCCCAUCCUACAAGUUACCACCUCCACCAAUUCCCAUUUACAAGUCGCCACCACCACCAACUCCUGCCUACAACUCUCCUCCACCACCUUACUAUCUUUACACCUCUCCCCCUCCUCCCUACCAUUACUAAAAAGCCACUUCAUUAUAUCGAGGUAAUUAAGACAAACUAAAACUAUUACUAAUGAUGUGUCUAAAAUGCAAAGCAAUAAGUUGCUCAAUUUCCUCAUGCAAAUCAUUAAUAUAUAGACCUAUGCAGUCUAUAUUCUUAUUUGGAUAACUUUAAUUACAUGUUCUCAUUCACAAAAUUAUAUUCUUAUGCAGGAAAAGCAAAAUGUUGAGCUUAAAGAAAGGCAUUUUACAUUUUCGAGAGACGAUGAAAAAAGAAGAAAACUAUAGUAAAUAAUAAGCCCCACAUAAGUCGAAGUUCUUUUGUAGCUUCAUGUUAUCUAAGCUAGUGAUACUGUUUGUACUCUAUUAUUUAUAUUUGUAUUUUUACUUUUAUGUCUUUCUGUAUGUUUGCUCAGUUUUAAUAUCCUAGCAAAAUGCAAAGAUUAAUUAUGAGAUGAAUAAAAUAAGUUAUUACUAUUAUACAGUUUUAUGUUUUCCUUCUCUCUGAUCUAUUCGAUCUUAAUUAGUCCUUUUUUUGGUCUUAUUUCUUCAUCUUUAUAUCGAAGGCGAGGCUCAACGAUUACAUUAAAUCAAUCAUCAUACAGAUAAAAUUGAUGACAAAUUUAACGUUAAGAUAUCAUCAAAAUCUCAAUAACAAUUUACAGAUCGAAAUCUUAGUAUCGAUUGAUUAAUAACCUAAACUUUCGCCAUGAAGACUUGAAUCCCUAAUCCCGUCCUUCAUUUCCCAUAUCUCUACCCACACAUUAUCUUUUAAGAAAGAAGAAGUAACAACCAAAAUAAACAUUAUAUCUAAAGUGAUAAUAUGAUAACAAUACAAAUAGGCAACAAUACAAUUAAAGAAAAAAAAAAAAGUUACUCCCACGAUGUCAACACGUAUGCUAGACUGACCAAUAAAGUUAGACAAAUUUCAAAAUUGACAAUAGCAAAGUAUACGUACGUAGCAUAUAGCAACCAAUCAAUGAAUAAAUUAUUCCUAAAGUAGUCAUUAUCAUCUCAUAUACUAUAUUUGGUAAAAUACUAAGAUUAAGUCAACAUAAUUCAGUCUACCGUUUGGUAAUUUAUAACAAAUAGUGACAAUAUUAAUAAAGUGAUUGGUGCUCUCUUUUGGCCCACCCCCAAGAAGAUCGUGAACGCAUAUUUUAAAUUUGAUUUGAUUACCACUUUUUAAUAUCUUUAAAAUAAAACUUGUAUAUUUAAAAAAUUAAAAAUUAUUAUUAUUAUUUAAUUAUAUAAAUAAAAUAUUUUAAAAUACAUUAGUAUCUUAAUAGAGAAAAGAUUAAAAAAUUAAAAAUUAUUAUUAUUAUUUAAUUAUAUAAAUAAAAUAUUUUAAAAUACAUUAGUAUCUUAAUAGAGAAAAGAUUGUUUGUUUGAUUUUCUAAAGUAACAGAGUCGGAUGAGAUAGUUGAUUAAUUUGACGGUUUGAAUAAUAUAAUCUUCUUGAUAAAUAAUCAUCAACCCAUCAUGCAUGUUUUAUAUUUAUUGAUAGAAACUUUGAUGGAUUGAUUUGUUGGUGCCGCCUCAACAUAGAGAAAAGAAAAAGAACAAGUUAUUUCAAUCUAUUACACUUUAGAGAUUAAAAAAAACAUUUUUUAAAGCAGUGAUAAAAUUGAUAAUAAUAAGUUGUUAAUAUGUUUGGCAAAAAGAGUGUCGAUUAACUAUUUUUUGCUAUAGUAUUGAAAUAUCUUUAGAUUUUUUAACCCCCAAAAAAGGUUUAAAACUACCUCUGUAAAGAAAAGGAGUUUAUUUUUAGAAAAUAUAUCUCGAGAAAUAAAGUAAGAUAAAGGAUAAAAUCGUGAAAGAAAAAUGUUGAUAAGCAAACAAAAAAAUCAAAGUUAGGAAUGACCAAUUUAUUGAAUAUAACUAAAUUGUCUUAAAUAAGCAACUUAGCUUAUAAAUAUAUAUAUAAAAUUAUUUUUAUAUCAGUUUGAUCAAUUAAUAAUAAAUUGAUUAUGCAUGAAAUAAUAGGAAGUGUUCUAAUUAAAAAGAAUACAAGGAAAAAGGUGCAGUAUUGUGUACGAUCGACCAAACAUACAUUCGUUAUUAAUUAUUAUUAAGCUAAUUAGACAACGCUAUCUUAUUAAUUUAUUAUAGAGCUGUCGAUAUUAGUUUAGAUAAUUAAAUUAUAUAAAAUUCAUUUAAUUCAAUCAAAGCUUGACUUGUUAAAUGUUAGGUUUAUGAUAUGAUUAAUUAUAUAUAUAAUUCACUAUGAUUUUACGCGACUUGUUAAUCAAGACCUUAUUUAACAUAUUGAUUAAGUUAUUAGUUAUAUAACUAAUAAAAAUAUAUUUUAAAUAAUAAAUGGUUAUUGAGAGAAAACUUCCAUGCAAUUAUCAUAAUAAGAAACUUCUUAAGAAAUUGUCUCUAAUUAGAUAAUUGGAUGGUGACUCUUUUGUUUAAAAAAAAUUGAAUCAAUCAAGAUUUUAUUGCUAUUAAUUGUGAACUACAAUUUGUAGAAGGGGAGCAUAAACCUAGAUAUUAACUAUGCACAACAUGAGUGUGCAAGAUUAUUUUGUUUAUUUAUUUUGAUUCAAUUCAGUAUCCGAUAUUCAUAUUAGAUUCUCAAUCAAAUUUGUAUUUACAUUAAAAAAAUUCAGUGCUCCUUAACAGAGGCAACAACUCUGUACUCAGGAGAACUCGAAUUCGAGACCUCUAAACAAGAAUAAAGAAGUAUUUGUUAUUCCAUAACAAUUUUUAUUGAUAAAAGAAACUCGUAGUAUCAUGAAAAGAUAAUAGAUUAUCUAGGCCUAAUGGAAAAUUCAGUCAAGCUUUAGAGGGAAAAUUAUGGCAUAGCAAAGUUACAAACUUUAUAGUAUGAUUAACUUAAUUACAAGACCGUUAAAUUGAAUGCAACCCCAAUAACUUUUCUUUCAAUAAAUAUUUGGCCUUUGUGAGCUUUAUUUGAACUCUCUCUUCCUUCAUAAACUUGACCAUCAGCAAUAUUUUCCUUUCCUCUUUUAUUUUAUUGCUCACUCGAUAGUCAGCUUUUAAGAUUGACUUGAUGUUUCGAUAAGCGAAAGGUGUAAAUCCAGAUUAUGCUCAAGUAUCUAAGUGAUAUAUGAAUUGCAAACUUUUUGCAUAUGCAUUUGAGAAGAAAAUAAUUAUCACAAGAAAAUAAAUAAUUAGCAUGCGGUAAAUUAUUAACGUAGUUAAAUAAUGUUAUAGUCUUAUAAAUUAAAAUAAAGACAAGGCAACAAUUGUCACUAAUUAUUUGUAUUGUUAGCAACAAAAACUAAGAGAACAUAAAUAAUAUAUACUUAAUGGCUCAAUUUUACACCAUUUCACUAUAAAUAACUUUAUGUCGCUAAUUUGAUUACAUAUUUUUGUGACGAAACUUAUUUUGUAUCCAAACUUAAACGAAUUUAAAGAUAAAUAUGAUUUAUCAUAAAUAUUCAGUAAAAACAGGGAGAAAAUUUAUCAUCAUCAAUAUCCUCAAUUUCGUCGCUAAAAUUACCUUACAAUUUGAUUUAAUUAUAAAUUGAAAAUCAAAUUUAAAAAUGAUUAAAUUUGUGAUGUUGGUGCAAAAUGCACGUAUCAAAUUAAACCCACCUUUAGGUCUAAGAAAAUGGUGAGCACAUCUUAACCAUUAUUCUUCAACUCAUUUCAUCUCUUCCUCAAUUAAUUAUGCAAAUAAUAAAAAUAUUUCUUUUUCCAUUCAAUGUCUGUGUUUUAUAUUGAAGUUCCAAUUAACUCUAGAUUAGAAACCGGAGGCGAGGGCACAUUUAAAGGUGAUGCUUCCUAUACGACUCAUGUAGUAAAAAAAAUUAUAAAAAAAACCACCACAAUAAUUAUAUACGCUUCAAAAAAAAGAAGAGAAUAGAAUAGCAUCCUAUUCAUAGAGAAAACUAUACUUGAUAGUUAACUGGUAGCAAAACUUUUGCACAAGAUUAAUUAUAUUUGUAUAGUUGAUUUAUUCAAGGUUUUAAUUAGAAGAGGUCUAGGAUUCUAUUUAUUUUUAUCCAUAUUUUUUAAACAAUAAAUUUGCUACAAAAGGAUGUCUGUGACAAAUCAUGUCUCCUAAAUAUAAGCACUUGUGUGAAGGUUAGUUGAGUGUAAAGUUGAGGCAUCCACGCAUUUUUUUUUUCAAAGGUUCUGUAAAAAGAAAACAAGAUUUUGUAGCUCUUUGAAUCAUUCUGUCACAAACAGUAUAGUUCCCUUAAUAGUUUAUACAUUUGCUUAGGAUGAUGCCUCUAUAUAUCUAUCAAAUUAAAUAUACAAACUAAAGUCAAAAUUGAGCCAACAACAUGUCAAGACUAAAUAAACAUAUGCAUAACUCUACCAUAUUACCUACAUUUGUAUAAAUUUUGGUAAGGGUAAUUUCUAAAUGAAGUCUAUAUAAAGGGGUUUGGGUGAAGCUUAAGAGGACAAAAACUUCUCUCCUUUGUUUCAAAUAUAGGGAAAAUGGCCUCUCUAGUUGCAACUCUUUUAGUGGUUUUAGUGUCACUUAGCUUACCAUCCGAAAGUUCAGCUAAUUAUCAAUACACAUCUCCCCCACCACCAAAGGAGUCAUACCACCCUUCACCAACACCUUAUCAUCCCGUACCACUUUACAAGUCUCCACCACUGCCAACUCCAGUUUACAAUUUUCCACCACCACCCAGAGAGACGUACUACCCUCCACACACUCCAGUGUACAUGCCGUCACCACCCUCGACACAAAUUUACAAGUCGCCACCACCACCCAAGGAGCCAUAUUACCCUCCACACACCCCAACCUACAAGUCGCCACCUCCACCAACUCCUAUUUACAAGUCUCCACCGCCGCCAACUCCCUUUUACAAUUCUCCACCACCACCCAAGGAGCCAUACUACACUUCGCCACCUCCACCAACUCCUACUUACAAGUACCCACCGCCACCAACUCCGGUUUACAAUUCUCCACCACCACCUAAGGAGCCAUACUACCCUCCACACACCCCAACCUACAAGUCGCCACCUCCACCAACUCCUGCUUACAAGUCUCUACCGCCGCCAAUUCCAGUUCACAAUUCUCCACCAUCACCCAAGGAGCCAUACUACCCUCCACACACCCCAACCUACAAGUCGCCACCUCCACCAACUCCUGCUUACAAGUCUCUACCGCUGCCAAUUCCAGUUCACAAUUCUCCACCAUCACCCAAGGAGCCAUACAACCCUCCACACACCCCAACCUACAAGUCGCCACCUCCACCAACUCUUGCUUACAAGUCUCCACCGCCACCAACUCCGAUUUACAAUUCUCCACCACCACCCAAGGAGCCAUACUACCCUCCACAUACCCCAACCUACAAGUCGCCACCUCCACCAACUCCCAUUUACAAGUCGCCACCGUCACCAACUCCGGUUUACGAUUCUCCACCACCACCCAAGGAGCUAUACUACCCUCCACACACCUCAACCUACAAGUCGCCACCACCACCGAAUGAGCCAUACUACCCUCCACACACACCAACAUACAAGUCGCCACCUCCACCAAUUCCAAUCUACAAGUCACCACCUCUUCCAACUCCUAUUUACAAGUCGCCACCACCACCCAAGGAGCCAUACUACCCUCCACAUACUCCACUUUCACCGUCUUCAGUUUAUAAGUCUCCACCUCCACCAACUCAUGUUUACAAGUCGCCGCCACCACCUAUAGAGCCAUACUACCCUCCACACACCCCAAUCUAUAAGUCGCCACCUCCACCGAUUCCUGUUUACAAUUCACCACCUCCACUAACUCCAGUUUAUAAGUCACCACCACCACCCAAAGAGCCUCACUACCCUCCACACACCCCAGUGUAUAAGUCACCACCACCACCCAAGGAGCCAUACUAUUCUCCACAAAAUCCAGUCUACAAGUCGCCACCUCCACCAACUCCCAGUUACAAGUCGCCAACACCACCCAAGGAGCCAUAUUAUCCUCCACAUACCCCAACUUACAAGUCACCACCUCCACCAACUCCAGUAUACAAGUCGCCGCCACCACCCAAGGAGCCAUACUACCCUCCACACACCCCGACCUACAAGUCGCCACCACCACCGAAGGAGUCAUACUAUCCUCCACACACCCCAACCUACAAGUCACCACCUCCACCAACUCCUGUUUCCAGCUCUCCACCACCACCAACUCCAGUCUACAAGUUUCCACCACCAACAGAUUAUGUUUACACCUCUCCCCCUCCUCCCUACUAUUACUAAGAAGAGAUUUCAUUAUAUCUAAGGUAAUUAAACCAAACUAAAACUUUUAAUUAUGAUAUGUCUAUAGAAGUUGCACAAUUUCUUCGUUCGAAUAAUUAAUAUAGACCUGUAUACUGUCUACAUCUUAUUUGGUUUAGGUUCUAUUAUAUGUUCUCAUUCACAAUACUAAUUAUAUUCUUAUGCAGGAAAGAUGCAGAAUGUUGAGCUAAAAGAAAAUAAGCCCACACAGGAGGCAAAGUUUUUUUGUAGCUUCAUUUUGUAUAAGUUAUUGUUUGUACCCUAUAUUAUAUUUAUAUUUUACUUCUAUUUAUUUGUGUAAUAUGUUUGUUCGAUCUCCUUGCAACAUGCAGCCAUUAUGAGAUGUAUAAAAUAUGUUAUUACUAUAUAUACUGUCUUUUUUCUUAUUUUUGUCAUCCCUUAUAUUGAGUUAUAUUUAUAAGUUGAGCCUCUUAUCAAUUACAUUAAAUCAGUUGCUAUAAAAAAUGUGGUUUUUCACCACCAAUAAGUUCAACGAUAAGCUACAAUCAACUGGGAAUAUUAGUAGCUUCAAUAGAAAAUGUUAAUAGCUCCGUUGAUUAGUUAUUUGAACUUUUUAUCUUUAUUACACGUCGCAAUAACAAUCAAUGUAAAUAUUAUAUCUAACCUCUGGACUUAUGCCCACAUAAUUCCUCAAUGCACCCACACAAAAUAUUGAAAUUAAAUAUUAUUACUUGCCUAUUUCUCUUAUCUUGAUUAUUAGUUUUCAGGGAUGAAAGUUUAAUUGUUACACCUUUCACUUUUUUAAAAAAAAAAAAAAGGAAUGGACAACCAACUGAUUUCGUAUCUGAUUGUAGUUGUUGAAGGCAUAUUGUAAUAAUUAAAUUUUCGUUUUUGAAAAAUAAUAAUCAAAAAAUAGAAAAUAUCAAUAAAUAAUAAUAUUUAAUUUUAUUUAUUUGUGCACGAUUUAACAAUCAUUAGAGAUUUCACACUAAAAUGUUUAAUUUUUUUGUUUUUUCUUUUUUUCUCUUCAUGACUAUCAACUCAAAAGUUUUGCUUUUUACCUGAAUUGAUGGAAUACUUGUUGAAAGUUUACCACGAAUGCAUAAUCAAUUUUUAAUCACAUUCGAGGAGGCAUAAAACGACUCACAACUUGAAGGCAAAAAAGAGUUGUAUGCAGAAGACUGCAAAUCAUUAUUGAAUAUUUUUUUAUAUAGGCAUCAGCUAGGGUUUGAAAUAUUUGAUCUAAUCGACUUUAGGUUUGAGAAUAUGAGUUGUGUUGGAUUAGACUUGUAAAUUUAAUAAUGGACUAACCUAAAUUUAAUCGAAAAAUUACCUAACUACAUAUAUAUUUUUUUAUCCUAUUUUCUAUUAUUUCAUAUAAUUUAUAAAAAUUACAAAAAUCUUUUUUUUCUCUCAAAUUCGCUCCUUUCAAGAUUCAUAACUUUAAAUCUUCCAACUCACAAUUUCUCCUUUUUCUCAGGCCUAUAAUCGCUCUACUAUAUUACUAGUUACCUUCAUCUCCUAUAUUUUGAAUUUUAGAUAUUUUUCUCUCUCCCGUUUAUAAUUUAAUUGAGUAUGUAUCAUAUGUUUGUUAUGUAUGUGAAGUACUAUUUUAUAACUAAAUCAUUGUUUAUCAUAUUCAUAAGUUUUUUUUAUAUGAUACAUAGCUAUGUCAAAUUAUACCGGCAUGAUACAUAAAUACUAAUUUAUGCUACAUGUAACGAUCUCAAAUCAAACAACUUAUGAGCAACAAUUACAUGUUAAAUGUAUCCCGUAACAAUACGAUACUUAUUAAUUUAAACGAGAUAAAUAAAUAGUAAUGUAUCAUGUAUUAGUUUUUAGAUGUGAUACAUAAAUUCGAAUUUGGACUACAUGUAUUAAUUACAUAGAAACUACCACGCGGUGAUGUAUCCAUCACAAAUGUAACAUCUUAUGGGCAACAAUUACUUAUUUAAUGUAUCUACUAUAAAUACAAUACUAAUCAAUUGAGACGAGAUACACAAAUAGUAAUGUAUCAUGCAAAAAAAUUUUUUACUUGAUAUGUGAAUUCGAAUUUAUACUAAAUGUAUCAAUUACAUAGCAACUACCACAUUGUAAUGUAUCGAUCUCGAAUUCAACAUCUUAUGGACUAUAAUUAUUUAUUUAGUGUAUUUAGUAUAAAUACAAUACUUAUCAAUUUAAACAAGAUACAUAAAAGUAAAAUGCUAAGUAGACAAGAUAUUCAUGAUAAUAUUCUCAAUUUUUUUGAGAUUCUUCAAUAAACUAGGAGAAGAAUUCUGAAUCUCAAAAUUUACAACAAUUUUGAAUCAAAAUUAAAAAGAUCUUUGAUGAACUGGAGAACAAAGAAUCUUAAUCUCAAAAUUUUUAACAAUCUUGAAUCAAAACUGAAAGGAAUAUCUUUGAUGAUCUUGAAGAUUCAAAAGAAAAUUGUUUAUCCAACAACAAUUUUGUCACUUUUGUAUCAUUCAUAAUUCACUUCGCUUACCCAAAAUUUCGACAAAAGUUUUUGGAUCAAAUGUGAAAGGUUUCUUUGUUGAACGGGGGGAUCAACUAGAAAUUUUAAAUUUCUUCGUUCUGUAUGGAUUUGAUUCUGUAUGAUUGAGAGUAAAAAGAAAUAUAAGCGUAAUUUAUGGAAUUUAAUUAGUUUUCAGAUUUUAUUUUCUUUUUAGCGCAACAGAAAGAUUCUUUUUGUAUUAAAAUUAGUGUAUCUAGAUGGUGGUGACUUAUGUAUUUGUUGAAGGAAGCUGAUGGAACAGGUUUGGUAGUAUAUGACUUUUUUCCUAUAUAAGGAUGAUGUAACUCAAUCAUUCAUUCAUCAAUAUAAUCCUUGAUUCUUCACAUACAUAUCUGUGAGAAUUCUACAUCCGAAAGGUACAAAUUUUAACGGAUCAUUUUAUUAGAAAAAAAUAGAGAUAAAAUAUAAUGUAUUCUUUACAUUACGAAGUUUACGUAAGUUAAUCAAAUUUGAUUAAACUUCCCUUAAAUCAUAAAAGUUUAACUUAAUAUUAUUCCAACUUUAUUAUAGAUAUAUAUAAUUGGAAAAAAAAACAAACAAAAUAGAACAUAAGAUCUCGAUCGCUGGACAAAUGUUUGUCUAUAAUAAAUAAAUAUGUCGGUAAUAAUUAUUGACUAGGUCAAUGUAGCUAAGGUUUGUACUUGUUUAUACUUACAUCCUAUCUCUUGGGACGAUUAAAAAAAUAUUAGUUUAGCUUAUUUAAUAAUGGAAUCUUAUAUGGAGUUUACUAAUUUUAUCUUUGUCGGUGAUUAAGUUAUACAAAUGAUUAAUUAUUUUUCUAAUUAAAAAGUCAAAAGUCAUUAUUGGAUGAACCAAGAAUCUUCCAUGUAUUUGAAUACUUUUUCUGUCUCCCUUAAAUCGUGAUGGCUUUUUUGUAAGUUAAAUAAUAAAAAAUUUUAUUAAUGUUUUGUUGAUAUAAGAAAUUAUAAAAUAAGUAUUUUUGUAUAAUAUAUUUAAAUUUUUAAUUUAAAUUUAAAUUUUAAAAAUUAGUUAUAUUAACUGUUAAAAAACCGUACAACGACUAAAACGGGACGGCUUGUUCUCUUCUUUCUUUUAUUAUAAAUAAAAAUAAAAAUUUAACUAAUGUGCAAUCAAUAAUGUUAAUUAUUUAUUCAAAGUUUAAAUUAAACACAUAAAAGUGAAAAGUAUAAAGCCUUCAACCGAUUCGAUUCAUUUAAUUAUGUUUCUUAAGAUAUUCCAUAUUUUCAAAUUUUAAAGAGAACUAUAAAUUCCUACAUUUAAAACUACAUACAUUAUUAAAAUGUGCCUAUAUAACACGCAUUUAAAUUAGUUGUGCUCAAAUAUAGAUAUCAAACAAGGAAUAAAACAUAAAGUGAAUUACUUAAACUAUAAUUAUAUAUUAAGUAAUUAAAUCAAAUCGUGUAAUUUAAUUAAUUAUACUACCAAAAUAUUAACUUCAACGAUAUGAAGUAACGCAAUGUACCUUUAAAGUUUCACAAAAUUUAAUUAGGUUGUAAGGUUUGAUUCUUGAAAUUUAGAAAUUAUUUUCAAGUGAUUUGAGUACAUUGAAAGUACCUAAGUCAAUAAAGUCAAAAAUAAAUUAAUUUUUACUUUGUAUCGUGACCUGUAUUCUACAUCUUGUGUGUUCCCACGAUAAUAAACUAAGAUACCAAAAAUUUCAUAGAUAUUAUAUUUAAUCAUAUAAAUUUUUUCAAUAUUGAGCUACAUAAUCCGUUGAAUUUUUUGCCCUCUAUUCCCACCUAAAACUAAAAAGAAAGAACAACAUUAAUUGCUUUAUUUAGUAAUGAAAGUGGGUCAUUAUAUAUAUAUAUAUAUAUAUAUAUAUAUAUAUAUAUAUAUAUAUAUAUAUAUAUAUAUAUAUAUUAUUUUAUUUUAUUUUAUUUUAUUUUUUUGACAACUAGGGAAACCUGAGCCGCUAUCCUAUAAAAUAGCUCGCAAAUCACAUAGGAGAGGUAACCUGCACUAGGCAAGCCUGGUGCAACGAGCUUGACCCAGAAGGCAAAUCUCUUGCUUUCGCUGGCAAGGGGUUUCAAACUUGAGACCUCCAAUAUGGAAGUUUCAAGCUCAAACCAUUGGGCCACCCCGAAGGGUUAUAUAUAUAUAACUUUUAGUAAUAUUAGAUAUUGACAUUAAUAAAGAGUGUUAAAGUCUUUAUCGGUAUCAGUUAAGUGUCAUUAGAACCAAUGUUGCUAAAGGCUUUAGGGACACAUACAAAGAAAGUUAUUGCCGCUAAAAACACUUAUUUGGCGACGUUUGAAAAUUAAUUGCCAAUAAUGAUUAUUUUUAAUAUAGUGUAUAUAUGUAUUAUUGUUUUAAAUCUCUAUACUAUUUAAGCACUAAAGGUAAUUAAAGGUUAGUUUAUCAAUCAAAAUCAAAAAAAAAUAAAUUGUUACUCCCUUAGUUCGUUUCAUAGUAGUUGAUCAUCUUACUAAAAAUAAUUGUUACACAUUAAUUGUCCAUCUUAUUAAAUCAAGAAAUCAAUAAUUAAUUUUUUCCUAUAUUAUCUAUUCAGAUAAUUCUUUUGAAAGUAUUAACAUUUGUUUGUAAAAUGUAAAAGAAGUUUUCAAGGGGUGAAUUAAUAAAAUUAUCUAGCUAGUUAAUAAAAAUGAUGGGUGAAAUAAUAUUAUCUAGCUACUUAAUAAAAAUAAUCAACUAAUAUGAGACACAUAAAAAUAGAAUUCUUCAAAUAUUUUGUAACAAAAAAAAAAAGAAAAAAGGCAGUGUACACUGAUUUUUGUAACUAAAAAUCGUGCGAAGUUGAGGGAUGCACGCAUUUUUUUCAAAGAUUUUGUAUGUAUGUAAUGUAAAAGCUUGGAAGAAAAAGAAGACUUUGUAGCUCUUUGAAUUAUUGCAUCACAAGAUGUAAAGAAAAUUGUAUGGUUGUCUUAAUAGUUUAUACAUUUUUGCUUAGCUUGCACCCUCUAUCCAAUAAAUAAAGUCAAAUUGAGCCAACAACAUGACAAAACCAAUUAUAAAAAUGAAUAAAAACUUUACCUACAUUUAUGUAAAUCUUGGUAAGGGUAAUUGUCGAAAUGAAAGCUAUAUAAAGGGGUUUGAGUGAAACUUAAAGAGGACACCAACUUCUCUUCUUUGGUUUCAAAUAUGGGGAAAAUGGCCUCUCUAGUUGCUACUCUUUUAGUGGUUUUAGUGUCACUUAGCUUUGCUUCCGAAAGCUCAGCAAACUAUCAAUACUCAUCUCCUCCACCACCAAAGAAGCCAUACCACCCUUCACCAACACCUUAUCAUCUCGCACCAGUUUACAGAUCACCACCACCACCAACUCCACUUUACAAGUCACCACCACCACCUAAGGAGCCACACUAUCCUCCACACACCCCGGUUUACAAGUCGCCACCUCCUCCAGCUCCAAUUUACAAGUCACCACCACCACCGGUGAAGCCAUACCAUCCAGCACCAGUUUAUAAGUCACCACCACCCCCUACGCCUGUUUACAAGUCACCACCACCACCAGUGAAGCCACACCAUCCUGCACCAGUAUACAAGUCUCCACCACCACCAACUCCAGUUUAUAAGUCACCACCUCCUCCAACACCCGUUUACAAGUCACCACCACCACCAGUGAAGCCAUACCAUCCUGCACCAGUAUACAAGUCACCACCACCUCCAACACCCAUUUACAAGUCACCACCACCACCAGUGAAGCCAUACCAUCCUGCACCAGUAUACAAGUCACCACCACCUCCAACACCCGUUUACAUGUCACCACCACCACCAGUGAAGCCAUACCAUCCUGCACCAGUAUACAAGUCACCACCACCUCUAACACCCGUUUACAAGUCACCACCACCACCAGUGAAGCCAUACCAUCCUGCACCAGUAUACAAAUCUCCACCACCACCAACUCCAAUUUACAAGUCACCUCCACCACCAGUGAAGCCAUACCAUCCUGCACCAGUAUACAAGUCUCCACCACCACCAACUCCAGUUUAUAAGUCACCACCACCACCGGUGAAGCCAUACCAUCCUACACCUGUGUACAAGUCUCCACCACCACCAACUCCUGUUUACAUGUCCCCACCACCACCAGUGAAGCCAUACCAUCCUACACCUGUGUACAAUUCUCCACCACCACCAACUCCCGUUUACAUGUCCCCACCACCACCAGUGAAGCCAUAUCAUCCUACACC
rnacentral:lncRNA from 1 species